CUUAGGGUCCUUUCUCAUUGUUAGGGUUCUUAGAUUUGUGAAUAUUGUAUGUCAAGUUACUAUCCUUUUUGUAUCUUGUUAUUGCGGAAUCCAAAUCUGGUUGUUUUGUGUCAUCUUGUUCAUCACGUUUUUGUAGCUGUUUGGGUGUUAAAAUACACUCUUGUAUCUUGUAUUCUUGUUGUACUUGUUGAAUCCAAGAGUUGGUCUCCAAUAGGUCCUCGGAUCUUGUGAUGUGUGGACUGUUUGAAGUGUGUUUCGUGUUCCUCUUGUUUUUCUUGUAUCAGUUGGUAUGGAUGGAAUCGGUAUUGGUGGUGGCCUUGGCAUUAGAAUAGGCUAGUGGGCUAACACCACAUCACAUAAUUUUCCACUGUUCCGUCAUAUUACAUUUUGUGAUUGAUUAUCAUAUUAUGUUUUAGUAUUCUCUUUUGUUAUGGCCUGGUUUAUGGCCUAUGAUUUGGUUUGAUACGGUUGGAUGGUUGAUUUGGUACGGGUGGACUCGGUUGGGUCGGCCAUGGUUGAGACUCUAUCCCAAAGUCUUCAUGAGAGCAUUUACUCUACCUUGCUAUAUGAUCAAAAUUCAUCCCAUCUAAGGCUGGAUAUAGAUAGUUGGGUUGGGUUACAGAGGGCGAUCUAGUUGGGUUGGGUUACAGAGGGCGGUCUCUGAUCCUGGUUGAACUUGUGAUGUCCAUUGCGACAAAGUUCGGGGUCGGGUCAGUUGUUCAUGUAGCAUCGAUUACGAGUGUGACAAUUAUAUUUGGAGCAGUACAUAUACAAGAAGUGAAGGCCUGAAAUGCGAGAAUCGAUCUUCCCUCUUUCACGUACUUAAUGAUCAAUAGGAGGCCUCUCCUUACACGUAACAACAUCGUCAAGAAAGGAGAUUAUGUUGGUUUGGGCUCAAUUUUGCAACUAACCUUGCAUGAUGACUCUAAAAAGGAGACUUAAAGAUGGCAAAAUUAUAUGGUUACAGAUUAUUCAAGGAGAGUUGUAGUGGAUUGGUCAACCAAAACUGAAGUUAAAUUAGGGACACUCAAUCUGGAUAAGUUUUGGAAGGUUGAAUUUGCAAGGACUUUGAUUACAACUCUAGAGUUGAGGUGAUUGGACUACAAAUCUUACUACCAAACACCAAUAAUUCUGGUAGUUUUAGGAAUGGGGGCUGCACUAGUAAAAAUGAUUGUGUAUGGUUUGUAUUUCACUUUUGACCUCAUUGGUACAGUGAUUGGCAUGGAGAAUGAAGUUGUUGGGUUGCAUUUCCAAAAAAUGCAACAUUCCAAUAUUUUACAUCAACACUCAUACAACUUCGCUGGAUCCUUCUUGAAGAAGUGUUUUUACUUUAGGGUUGUCGUACAACUUUGAUAUUUCUAUAUUAGAUGGUUAUAGAGUUGAACUGUAAAGUAUGCACUCAAGCUACCUUAUAAGGAGAGCAAGUUCAUGAACUUGUAAUGAAAAAUAAAGGCAAUGUUGAAUUCCAAAAUUUUGUUGGAAAGGUGAUGAAUGCUUUAUAUGGAGCUUCUAAGUUGUGCAUUCGUACUCUAAUUUUGUUGCAUAAUUGCACUUAUUUCCCUUUUGUUGUCUUUGAAUCCAAAUAUGGAGGUGAAGGAGAAGGUCUAUUACACGAGCAAGCUACCAAUAUCGUUGGUGUUCGAAAGAUCUGAAGAGAGAUAUGAUGAGACCAAUUUAAAAAUGAAGUUGUUCUUAAGAUCAUCCAGAUACGUUAAGGAGGGGGAUACUGAAAUCUUUUCUAUUUUGAAUUACAUGGUCUUAAAUAUUAUUGAGUAUGAUGCCCAGUGCGUACCCAAAAGCUUUGAGGCAAUGCUAAUUUUAAGCGUGGAUGACAAGACUAUGUUAUAUAACCAGAUUACUAAACUGAUGCUACAGAGUGUUCCAAAGAUGUGUAGAAUUCUAAUGACACAUAAUUUCUAACUGUUGUCAUUUGAUCCUGGAGGGAUCAUUCUAUAUACCCUGCUAAUAUGGACAGAAUUACUUUUCAACUUGUCUGCAAAUUAUGUAAACUAUUUGAUUGUAUCUUCUACAGAACAAGGUGUUCUAAUUAUCCUAACUUUUAUUGUAGACUUGAAA